AACGAACGCUGGCGGCAGGCCUAACACAUGCAAGUCGAGCGAAGCCUUCGGGCUUAGCGGCGGACGGGUGAGUAACGCGUGGGAACGUGCCCUUUGCUACGGAAUAGCCCCGGGAAACUGGGAGUAAUACCGUAUGUGCCCUUCGGGGGAAAGAUUUAUCGGCAAAGGAUCGGCCCGCGUUGGAUUAGGUAGUUGGUGGGGUAAUGGCCUACCAAGCCGACGAUCCAUAGCUGGUGUGGGAGGAUGAUCGGCCACACUGGGACUGAGACACGGCCCAGACUCCUACGGGAGGAAGCAGUGGGGAAUCUUAGACAAUGGGGGAAACCCUGAUCUAGCCAUGCCGCGUGAUCGAUGAAGGCCUUAGGGUUGUAAAGAUCUUUCAGUGGGGAAGAUAAUGACUGUACCCACAGAAGAAGCCCCGGCUAACUCCGUGCCAGCAGCCGCGGUAAUAC
rnacentral:rRNA from 1 species